rnacentral:rRNA from 1 species
ACUCCUACGGGAGGCAGCAGUGGGGAAUAUUGCACAAUGGGGGAAACCCUGAUGCAGCCAUGCCGCGUGUGUGAAGAAGGCCUUCGGGUUGUAAAGCACUUUCAGUUGUGAGGAAAAGUUAGUAGUUAAUACCUGCUAGCCGUGACGUUAACAACAGAAGAAGCACCGGCUAACUCCGUGCCAGCAGCCGCGGUAAUACGGAGGGUGCGAGCGUUAAUCGGAAUUACUGGGCGUAAAGCGCACGCAGGCGGUUUGUUAAGCUAGAUGUGAAAGCCCCGGGCUCAACCUGGGGAUGGUCAUUUAGAACUGGCAGACUAGAGUCUUGGAGAGGGGGAGUGGAAUUCCAGGUGUAGCGGUGAAAUGCGUAGAUAUCUGGAGGAACAUCAGUGGCGAAGGCGACUCCCUGGCCAAAGACUGACGCUCAUGUGCGAAAGUGUGGGUAGCGAACAGGAUUAGAUACCCUGGUAGGAUAGCG